GCUGUAGCCCAGUGGCAGGGCAUCUGCCUUGCAUGCAGAAGAUCCCAGACUGAGAUAGAUUCCCUGGCUGAAAUC